UCGCCUGGUUUUACAAAAACAUGUCUUUUUGGGUUUAUUUAAAGUCAGGCCUGCCCAGUGAUAAUUUAAACGGCCGCGGUAUUUUGACCGUGCUAAGGUAGCAUAAUCAUUAGUUUCUUAAUUAGAAGCUGGAAUGAAGGGUUCGAUGAAAAAGAUUCUGUCUCAGUUUUAAAUUUUGAAUUUUAUUUUUAAGUGAAAAAGCUUAAAUUUUGUUAAAAGACGAGAAGACCCUAUAGAGUUUAAUAAUUUAAUAAUUACAGAAGUCAAGGAAUCAGUUUGGUCUAUAAUAUUUAAAUUAUUUGGUUGGGGUGACUGAAAAAUUUAAUAAACUUUUUCUUAUUAAGAUACAUUGAUUAAUGAGUUUUUGAUCCUUUUUUAAAGAUUAAGAGAGUAAAUUACCUUAGGGAUAACAGCGUUAUUUUUUCUUAGAGUUCUAAUCGAAGAGAAAGUUUGCGACCUCGAUGUNGGGGAUUAAA
rnacentral:rRNA from 1 species